GGGUUGUGAGGUUAAGUGACUAAGCGUACACGGUGGAUGCCUAGGCAGUCAGAGGCGAUGAAGGGCGUGCUAAUCUGCGAAAAGCGUCGGUAAGGUGAUAUGAACCGUUACAACCGGCGAUACCCGAAUGGGGAAACCCAGUGUGUUUCGACACACUAUCAUGUCAUGAAUACAUAGUGGCAUGAGGCGAACCGGGGGAACUGAAACAUCUAAGUACCCCGAGGAAAAGAAAUCAACCGAGAUUCCCCCAGUAGCGGCGAGCGAACGGGGAGGAGCCCAGAACCUGAAUCGGCUUGUGUGUUAGUGGAAGCGUCUGGAAAGUCGCGCAGCAAAGGGUGAUAGCCCCGUACACUAAAAUGCACAGGUCGUGAGUUCGAUGAGUAGGGCGGGACACGUGACAUCCUGUCUGAAUAUGGGGGGACCAUCCUCCAAGGCUAAAUACUCCUGACUGACCGAUAGUGAACCAGUACCGUGAGGGAAAGGCGAAAAGAACCCCGGCGAGGGGAGUGAAAUAGAACCUGAAACCGUGUACGUACAAGCAGUGGGAGCACCUUCGUGGUGUGACUGCGUACCUUUUGUAUAAUGGGUCAGCGACUUAUAUUUUGUAGCAAGGUUAACCGUAUAGGGGAGCCGUAGGGAAACCGAGUCUUAACUGGGCGAUAGUUGCAAGGUAUAGACCCGAAACCCGGUGAUCUAGCCAUGGGCAGGUUGAAGGUUGGGUAACACUAACUGGAGGACCGAACCGACUAAUGUUGAAAAAUUAGCGGAUGACUUGUGGCUGGGGGUGAAAGGCCAAUCAAACCGGGAGAUAGCUGGUUCUCCCCGAAAGCUAUUUAGGUAGCGCCUCGUGAACUCAUCUUCGGGGGUAGAGCACUGUUUCGGCUAGGGGGCCAUCCCGGCUUACCAAACCGAUGCAAACUCCGAAUACCGAAGAAUGUUAUCACGGGAGACACACGGCGGGUGCUAACGUCCGUCGUGAAGAGGGAAACAACCCAGACCGCCAGCUAAGGUCCCAAAGUCAUGGUUAAGUGGGAAACGAUGUGGGAAGGCACAGACAGCCAGGAUGUUGGCUUAGAAGCAGCCAUCAUUUAAAGAAAGCGUAAUAGCUCACUGGUCGAGUCGGCCUGCGCGGAAGAUGUAACGGGGCUAAACCAUGCACCGAAGCUGCGGCAGCGACGCUUAGGCGUUGUUGGGUAGGGGAGCGUUCUGUAAGCCGUUGAAGGUGGCCUGUGAGGGUUGCUGGAGGUAUCAGAAGUGCGAAUGCUGACAUAAGUAACGAUAAAGCGGGUGAAAAGCCCGCUCGCCGGAAGACCAAGGGUUCCUGUCCAACGUUAAUCGGGGCAGGGUGAGUCGACCCCUAAGGCGAGGCUGAAAAGCGUAGUCGAUGGGAAACAGGUUAAUAUUCCUGUACUUGGUGUUACUGCGAAGGGGGGACGGAGAAGGCUAGGCUGGCCGGGCGACGGUUGUCCCGGUUUAAGCGUGUAGGGGGUGUGACCUGGUAAAUCCGGUUGCAUACUAACCCUGAGGCGUGAUGACGAUGCACUACGGUGCAGAAGUAGUUGAUGCCCUGCUUCCAGGAAAAUCCUCUAAGCUCCAGGUAACAUUAAAUCGUACCCCAAACCGACACAGGUGGUCAGGUAGAGAAUACCAAGGCGCUUGAGAGAACUCGGGUGAAGGAACUAGGCAAAAUGGUGCCGUAACUUCGGGAGAAGGCACGCUGGCAUGUAGGUGAAGUCCCUUGCGGAUGGAGCUGAAGCCAGUCGAAGAUACCAGCUGGCUGCAACUGUUUAAUAAAAACACAGCACUGUGCAAACACGAAAGUGGACGUAUACGGUGUGACGCCUGCCCGGUGCUGGAAGGUUAAUUGAUGGGGUCAGCCGCAAGGCGAAGCUCUUGAUCGAAGCCCCAGUAAACGGCGGCCGUAACUAUAACGGUCCUAAGGUAGCGAAAUUCCUUGUCGGGUAAGUUCCGACCUGCACGAAUGGCGUAAUGAUGGCCAGGCUGUCUCCACCCGAGACUCAGUGAAAUUGAACUCGCUGUGAAGAUGCAGUGUACCCGCGGCAAGACGGAAAGACCCCGUGAACCUUUACUAUAGCUUGACACUGAACAUUGAGCCUUGAUGUGUAGGAUAGGUGGGAGGCUUUGAAGCGUGGACGCCAGUCUGCGUGGAGCCAUCCUUGAAAUACCACCCUUUAAUGUUUGAUGUUCUAACUCGGCCCCAUAAUCUGGGGUGAGGACAGUGUCUGGUGGGUAGUUUGACUGGGGCGGUCUCCUCCCAAAGAGUAACGGAGGAGCACGAAGGUUAGCUAAUCACGGUCGGACAUCGUGAGGUUAGUGCAAAGGCAUAAGCUAGCUUGACUGCGAGAGUGACGGCUCGAGCAGGUACGAAAGUAGGUCUUAGUGAUCCGGUGGUUCUGAAUGGAAGGGCCAUCGCUCAACGGAUAAAAGGUACUCCGGGGAUAACAGGCUGAUACCGCCCAAGAGUUCAUAUCGACGGCGGUGUUUGGCACCUCGAUGUCGGCUCAUCACAUCCUGGGGCUGAAGUAGGUCCCAAGGGUAUGGCUGUUCGCCAUUUAAAGUGGUACGCGAGCUGGGUUUAGAACGUCGUGAGACAGUUCGGUCCCUAUCUGCCGUGGGCGUUGGAAGAUUGAGAGGGGUUGCUCCUAGUACGAGAGGACCGGAGUGAACGCACCACUGGUGUUCGGGUUGUCAUGCCAAUGGCAUUGCCCGGUAGCUAAGUGCGGAAAAGAUAAGCGCUGAAAGCAUCUAAGCGCGAAACUUGCCUCAAGAUGAGUCUUCCCUGGACUUUGAGUCCACUGAAGGAACGUUUAAGACUAAGACGUUGAUAGGCUGGGUGUGUAAGUGCAGCGAUGCAUUGAGCUAACCAGUACUAAUGAUCCGUGAGGCUUAACCUUACAACACCGAAGGUGUUUUAG
rnacentral:rRNA from 2 species